rnacentral:rRNA from 1 species
UACGAAGGGGGCUAGCGUUGCUCGGAAUCACUGGGCGUAAAGGGCGCGUAGGCGGCGUUUUAAGUCGGGGGUGAAAGCCUGUGGCUCAACCACAGAAUGGCCUUCGAUACUGGGACGCUUGAGUCUGGUAGAGGUUGGUGGAGCUGCGAGUGUAGAGGUGAAAUUCGUAGAUAUUCGCAAGAACACCGGUGGCGAAGGCGGCCAACUGGACCAGCACUGACGCUGAGGCGCGAAAGCGUGGGGAGCAAACAGG